GGAAAUGGAGUUUGAAGGAUAGAGAAUGUUAUCACUUUGUAUUGAAUCGGUCUGACCUGAACAAAACAGAGGAAUUCAACAAUGGGACACAGUCGGCAGAGGCCCAUUUUGAAAUCCAGUGUGAGUCGACAUCGGUUAACAACACAGCCACACAAGGUGCCUGUUAUUCCAUAAAUCAAUUGUUUCUGAGGGGUCUGGUUUGCCAUGCAAUGGAUCCUUAACCAAUGUGCGGAAGAUUGUGAGUGGAACAAACAGAUGAUAUGCUGAAAUAUGUUACAAGGAUUUUAAAGACAA